UACAGAGGUCCCAAGCGUUGUUCGGAUUCAUUGGGCGUAAAGGGUGCGUAGGCGGCGCGGUAAGUCGGGUGUGAAAUCUCGGAGCUUAACUCCGAAACUGCAUUCGAUACUGCCAUGCUUGAGGACUGGAGAGGAGACUGGAAUUUACGGUGUAGCGGUGAAAUGCGUAGAUAUCGUAAGGAAGACCAGUGGCGAAGGCGGGUCUCUGGACAGUUCCUGACGCUGAGGCACGAAGGCCAGGGGAGCAAACGGG
rnacentral:rRNA from 1 species